CUGUGUGUAGGUGGACAGGGAAUGGGGAGCUCUGUGUGUGUAGGUGGGACAGGAAUGGGGAGCUCUGUGUGUGUAGGUGGACAGGGAAUGGGGAGCUCUGUGUGUGUAGGUGGACAGGGAAUGGGGAGCUCUGUGUGUGUAGGUGGACAGGGAAUGGGGAGCUCUGUGUGGGUAGUGGACAGGGAAUGGAGGAAUGGGCAGCUCUGUGUAGGUGGGACAGGUAAUGGGGGAUGGGGAGCCCUGUGUGUGUAGGUGGACAGGUAAUGGGGAGAAGGGCAGCCUUGUGGAUAGGUGGCAGGAAAGGGGGAAAGGGCAGCUCUGUUUGUAGGUGGACAGGGAAUGGGGGAAUGGGUAACUCUGUGUCCUCAGCCAUAAAAAGUUGAGAGGAGAGACAGAGGAGGAGAGUUGUUAUGUG
rnacentral:lncRNA from 1 species